CCCUUAGAUGUUCUGGGCGGCCCGCGCACUACAAUGGCGCGUUCAUCGAGAACCAAGGUUGAAUUAUUCGAGGUAUUCUUGCAAAACGCGUCUUGAUUGGGAUAGAUCCUUGUAAUUGUUGGUCUUGAACGAGGAAUUCCUUGUAAGCGUGGUUUAUCAUCCCACGUUGAAUGCGUCCUGCCCUUUGUACACACCGCCCGUCGCUCCUACCGAUGAAUUGUCCGGUGAAGUUCAUGGAGAGCUGUUUCACUGAGAUGUGCUUAAAGCGAGAUGAACCUAGCGGUUUAGAGGAAGGAGAAGUCGUAACA
rnacentral:rRNA from 1 species